UACGUAGGGUGCAAGCGUUGUCCGGAAUUAUUGGGCGUAAAGAGCUCAUAGGCGGUUUGUCGCGUCUGCUGUGAAAACCCGAGGCUCAACCUCGGGCCUGCAGUGGGUACGGGCAGACUAGAGUGCGGUAGGGGAGAUUGGAAUUCCUGGUGUAGCGGUGGAAUGCGCAGAUAUCAGGAGGAACACCAAUGGCGAAGGCAGAUCUCUGGGCCGUAACUGACGCUGAGGAGCGAAAGCAUGGGGAGCGAACAGG
rnacentral:rRNA from 1 species